UAAGCGGAGGAAAAGAAACUAACAAGGAUUCCCCUAGUAGCGGCGAGUGAAGCGGGAAGAGCUCAAAUUUGUAAUCUGGCGUCUUUCAGGCGUCCGAGUUGUAAUCUAUAGAAGUGUUUUCCGUGCUGGACCAUGUCCAAGUCCCUUGGAACAGGGUAUCAAAGAGGGUGACAAUCCCGUACUUGACAUGACCACCAGUGCUCUGUGAUACACUCUCUACGAGUCGAGUUGUUUGGGAAUGCAGCUCAAAAUGGGUGGUAAAUUCCAUCUAAAGCUAAAUAUUGGCGAGAGACCGAUAGCGAACAAGUACCGUGAGGGAAAGAUGAAAAGCACUUUGGAAAGAGAGUUAAACAGUACGUGAAAUUGUUGAAAGGGAAACGAUUGAAGUCAGUCGUGUUCAUUGGACUCAGCCGGUUUUCGGUGUAUUUCCUUUGAACGGGUCAACAUCAGUUUUGUCCGGUGGAUAAAGGCAGGAAGAAAGUGGCUCCCUCGGGAGUGUUAUAGCUUUCUGUCACAUACACUGGAGGAGACUGAGGACUGCAGCUCGCCUUUUGGCCGGGGUUCGCCCACGUUCGAGCUUAGGAUGUUGACAUAAUGGCUUUAAACGACCCGUCU
rnacentral:rRNA from 1 species